rnacentral:rRNA from 1 species
UACGGGGGGAGCAAGCGUUGUUCGGAUUUACUGGGCGUAAAGGGCGCGUAGGCGGCGUGUUAAGUCAGCUGUGAAAUCUCCGAGCUUAACUCGGAACGGUCAGCUGAUACUGAUGUGCUAGAGUGCAGAAGGGGCAAUCGGAAUUCUUGGUGUAGCGGUGAAAUGCGUAGAUAUCAAGAGGAACACCUGAGGUGAAGACGGGUUGCUGGGCUGACACUGACGCUGAGGCGCGAAAGCCAGGGGAGCAAACGGG